CCUACGGGUGGCAGCAGUGGGGAAUAUUGCACAAUGGGGGGAACCCUGAUGCAGCAACGCCGCGUGGGUGAAGAAGUACUCCGGUAUGUAAAGCCCUGUCAGCAGGGAAGAAAAUGACGGUACCUGACCAAGAAGCCCCGGCUAACUACGUGCCAGCAGCCGCGGUAAUACGUAGGGGGCAAGCGUUAUCCGGAUUUACUGGGUGUAAAGGGAGCGUAGACGGCAAGGCAAGUCUGGAGUGAAAGCCCGGGGCCCAACCACGGGACUGCUUUGGAAACUGUGUUGCUGGAGUGCAGGAGGGGUAAGCGGAAUUCCUGGUGUAGCGGUGAAAUGCGUAGAUAUUAGGAGGAACACCGGUGGCGAAGGCGGCUUACUGGACUGUAACUGACGUUGAGGCUCGAAGGCGUGGGGAGCAAACAGGAUUAGAUACCCCAGUAGUC
rnacentral:rRNA from 1 species